rnacentral:rRNA from 1 species
CUAACAAGGAUUCCCCUAGUAACUGCGAGUGAAGCGGGAAAAGCUCAAAUUUAAAAUCUGUCAGCCUUUGGCUGUCCGAGUUGUAAUCUAGAGAAGUGUUAUCCGCGCUGGACCGUGUACAAGUCUCCUGGAAUGGAGCGUCAUAGAGGGUGAGAAUCCCGUCUUUGACACGGACUGCCAGGGCUUUGUGAUGCGCUCUCAAAGAGUCGAGUUGUUUGGGAAUGCAGCUCAAAAUGGGUGGUAAAUUCCAUCUAAAGCUAAAUAUUGGCGAGAGACCGAUAGCGAACAAGUACCGUGAGGGAAAGAUGAAAAGAACUUUGGAAAGAGAGUUAAACAGUACGUGAAAUUGCUGAAAGGGAAACGCUUGAAGUCAGUCGCGUUGUCCAGGGAUCAACCUUGCUUUUGCUUGGUGUACUUUCUGGUUAACGGGUCAGCAUCAAUUUUGACUGUUGGAAAAAGAUCAGGGGAAUGUGGCAUCUUCGGAUGUGUUAUAGCCCUUGGUUGCAUACAAUGGUUGGGAUUGAGGAACUCAGCACGCCGCAAGGCCGGGUUUUAACCACGUACGUGCUUAGGAUGCUGGCAUAAUGGCUUUAAUCGACCCGUCUUGAAACACGGACCAAGGAGUCUAACAUGCCUGCGAGUGUUUGGGUGGAAAACCCGAGCGCGUAAUGAAAGUGAAAGUUGAGAUCCUUGUCAUGGGGAGCAUCGACGCCCGGACCAGACCUUUUGUGACGGUUCCGCGGUAGAGCAUGUAUGUUGGGACCCGAAAGAUGGUGAACUAUGCCUGAAUAGGGUGAAGCCAGAGGAAACUCUGGUGGAGGCUCGUAGCGAUUCUGACGUGCAAAUCGAUCGUCAAAUUUGGGUAUAGGGGCGAAAGAC